rnacentral:sRNA from 1 species
UAAAGGACCUCUUGACGGUGGUUAUCAGGGUCCAUACUGGGCUGAAGGUGUAAGACGUCAAAAUGUUCUUCGAAGGCUAUCUAAGCGACCUUGGUCAGCCGGCUUGAGCGGCGGUUAUAGCCAAGGUGCUGGCUUCAAUGUUGGAGCGUCUGUAUCUUACUCGUGGAGAUAAAGCCUCGCUCUGAUACCUAAAAAUUCGAAAAUAUAUUAAAUAAAGAAAAAUAAAUAUUACAUGACCAAACUAAAA